CCCACAAAUCUGACCUCUUUGAAUGGG
rnacentral:piRNA from 1 species